rnacentral:rRNA from 1 species
UACGGAGGAUGCAAGCGUUAUCCGGAUUCAUUGGGUUUAAAGGGUGCGCAGGCGGAAUAAUAAGUCAGUGGUGAAAGCCUACAGCUUAACUGUAGAACUGCCAUUGAUACUGUCAUUCUUGAGUAUUGUUGAGGUAGGCGGAAUGUGUCAUGUAGCGGUGAAAUGCUUAGAUAUGACACAGAACACCGAUCGCGAAGGCAGCUUACCAAGCAAUAACUGACGCUCAUGCACGAAAGCGUGGGGAUCAAACAGG